AUUCCUUCAAAGAUCCCAAGAUAUAUCUGCUAAAACAAAAGUGCCCCCGGACACUGUAUGGGCCUGUGUUUGCAGUGGCUCUAAAAAUUUAUCUGCAACUUCUCCCCUGUGUGACUAAUGCCUGCCGCCUUCUACUCAGUGGCUGUUUCGACCCAUCACCCUUCCUCUCUGAGGCAAAGAACUCUUCAGCAAGGAGAAACCCAAGAAACAAGAGAAUUCAAACACAGGACAGCUUUAAAAAUUGUCCAAAGACAAAGAGAGUGACUUCUGCAACAUUUGUCCAUCUGAGCGCAAUGAUGGGUCUGGGCAUGUGUAUUUGAGAGAAGAGUUUGGAAAAAAAGCUGUGUAAUAGAAGGAGGAGAAUUGGGAGUUCCCAUGGCAAGGCUGAAGCAAAGAGGUAAGCAGGUGAGAGGGGAGGAGGAAGGAGGAUGCUGGCUGGAGUCCUGUUCAGCUGUGUUAGUAACAUCCCUCCAUCUUCAGAAGAUGCCACCAACUCAGGGGUACAUUUUUUUUUCAAAACAAACAACUUUUUAAUGGAAGUACAGUUAAUUUGCAAUGUUUUCAUAGUUUCAGGUGUAUAGCAAAGUGCUUCAGAUAUAUUUAUAUCUAUAUCUAUAAGUAGGUAUAGAUAUAGACACAUAUUUUUUUUUCAAAUUCUUCUCCAUUCCAUUAUAGGUUAUUACAAGGUACUGAAUCUAGUUCCCUUCCCUGUGCCAUAGAAUAAGUCCUUCUUCUUCUUCCUCCUUUUUUUUUUUUUUUUUUUUNUUUGCUUUUUAGGGCCACGCCUGUGGCAAAUGGAAGUUCCCAGGCUAGGGGUUGAAUUGGAGUUACAGCUGCCAGCAGCCUACACCACAGCUCACAGUAUGCCGGAUUCUUAACCCACUGAGUGAGGCCAGAGAUCAAACCCACAACCUCAUGGUUAUUAGUCGGAUUUGUUUCCACUGUACCAUAAUGGGAACUACAGUCCUUGUUGUUUUAUCUGUUUUAUAUGGAGCAGUGUGUAUCUGUUAAUUCUAAACUCCUAAUUCACGCCCUCCCCCAAUCCAGGUACUCUCUUUUUUUUUUUCUUUUUAGGGGACACCCUUGGCAUAUGGAGGCCGUUCCCAGGAUGGGUGUCGAAUCAGAGCUGUAGCUGGCCUACACCGCAGCCAUAGCAAUGCAGGAUCAGAGCUGCAUCUGCAACCUAUACUAUAGCCCAUGGCAACGCCAGAUCUUUAGCCCACUGAGCAAGGCCAGGGAUUGAAAUUUCGUCCUCAUGGAUGCUGGUCAGAUUCAUAUCCACCAAGCCACGGCAGGAAUUCUUCUUCUUUUUUUUUUUUUUGGCAUGUGCUCUUUUAUUUAUUUUUAAUUUUUUAAUUUUUUUGUCUUUUUGCCUUUUCUAGGGCCACGGCAUAUGGAGGUUCCCAGGCUAGGGGUCUAAUCAGAGCUGUAGCUGCCAGUCUAUGCCAGAGCCAUAGCAACGCGGGAUCCGAGCCAUGUCUGCAAACUACACCACAGCUCAUGGCAACGCCGGAUCGUUAACCCACUGAGCAAGGCCAGGGAUCGAAACCGCAACCUCAUGGUUCCUAGUCGGAUUCGUUAACCACUGUGCCACGACGGGAACUCCGACACGUGCUCUUUUAAAAGCCAGUACAUUCCAGGGCUCCCCAUGGCUCCGUCUCAGGUUAAUGCCAUGGACAAAGGAAUGCAGUCCACUAGCCAAAAUGAAUAGCUAAUGCCAAGCUUUACUCUAAUGCCUGUAAUCUCAUACAAGGAAAUGCAGUUAGCAAACCACGUGAGAAGGACUACAGAGCAGGGCCAGGAGCAUGGACUCUGCGCCAGACAGCCCAAGUUUGAAUUUUGGUUCUGCCACUUAUAAGCUGCGAGAUCUUUGGUGCAUCACUUGACCUCUCUGUGCUUUAGUUCCCCCAUCUGUAAAAUGAGGAUGAUUAUAGCACCUAAUUAUUAAGAUGGCGAUGGGAAUGAAAUGUGUUUAUAUUUGUCAAGUCAUCAUAACAAUACCUGAAACCUAGAAAAACCUACAUCAGUGUUUGUUGAAUAACGACAUUCUAGGAUCCAUUUUCUCUGACACUCAAGCCCAAAGGGCGUUUCUAGUUUUCCUUUCUCUGUUAUUUCUUUUCAUCACUUCUUCUCCUCUUCCUUUCUACUCCCUCUUGCUGAGAAAUAGCUCUGCAUUUUCUAAUGCAACCCCCAGCCUUUGAUUCACCCUCCACCCCAGCCUAGGGAGUAGCCAGAUCUCCCUACGAGGGGUCAGGAGGGGGUGCGGAGAGGAUAAGAUAGAAAAGUGCAAAGUAGGAGUUCCUGUCGUGGCGCAGCGGAAGCGAAUCAGACUUGUAUUCAUGAGGAUGCAGGUUUGAUGCCUGGCCCUGCUCAGUGGGUCAGCGAUCCUGUGUUGCUGUGAGCUGUGAUGGAGGUGACAGACGUGGCUCGGAUCCCCCAUUACUGCGGCUGGGGUGUGGGCUGGCAGCUGUAGCUCCAACUUGACCCCUAGCCUCGGAACUUCCAUAUGCUGCAGGUGUGGCCCUAAAAGCAAAAAAGAAAAAGAAAAAA
rnacentral:lncRNA from 1 species